GACGGAGGAUGCAAGCGUUAUCCGGAAUGAUUGGGCGCAAAGCGUCCGCAGGUGGCAGUUCAAGUCUGCUGUCAAAGACCGGGGCUUAACUUCGGAAAGGCAGUGGAAACUGAACAGCUAGAGUAUGGUAGGGGCAGAGGGAAUUCCUGGUGUAGCGGUGAAAUGCGUAGAGAUCAGGAAGAACAUCGGUGGCGAAGGCGCUCUGCUGGACCAUAACUGACACUCAGGGACGAAAGCUAGGGGAGCGAAUGGG
rnacentral:rRNA from 1 species